CAAAGAAUCUAGGCUGUAUACAUUUAAAUACUUUACAUUAAUAAAGAAACACAUUUCGCUCAGCAACAGAGAGCUGUUUAUUGAUCAGCUCUAUGGAUAAACUAGCAAGACUUUCUUUAAUAGACCGGCUAAACACACCUCUACAUUUCUACUGUUACUGUAGAGAAUGCUCAUUGUUGCAGUCCAUCCAUCUCUUUCUUUUUGUCCUGUAACUUAGAAUACAGGAAGUAAGCAGUUAUAAAAAUAACUUUGGAACUUCCACUAUUUCUCGGUAAAGCAUUAUUAGUGCUUGCUAUUGUGAUUUCUCAUCAAUUGUGACCAAGAUCUUAAGCAAGUACAGAGAGAACUCUUUCUUUCUUUCUUUCUUUCUUUCUUUCUUUCUUUCUUUCUUUCUUUCUUUCUUUCUUUCUUUCUUUCUUUCUUUCUUUCUUUCUUUCUUUCUUUCUUUCUUUCUUUCUAGUAACUUAGAAUACAGGUAACCAGUUAUAUAAGUAACUUUGAAACUUCCUCUACUUCUCAGUAAAGCAUUAUUAGUACUGUAAAAGGAGAUUCAUCUUGCUCAUCUUGAGAUCACACACGACCAAGAUCUCUAACAAGUACAGAGAGAACUGUUCUCUGGACAAAAUGAGAAUUACAGGUCAUCUUUGAAAUCCUGCUGAUUUUCACAAAAGCUGCCAUGGGUUUCAUGGUGGUGUUUUUGUCUGUGUGGAUCUUUCAAGUCAUCAUCCUGCUGUCUCUGUUAGUGGGAGCAUACAUCUACCCCAGAAUCUACAGGAAACAGAGGACACCUGAGAUUCAGGAAGCUCUGUAAACCUGGAUUAGGAACAGAAGAAGCAGAUCUCCUCUAUACAAGCAACCAUCAAUCUGUGUCUCAUUCAGACUGAAACAUGAGAAAAUAUAACCAUCAAUAACAGAUGGCUAACAGACAACAUAAAUGUAAUUCCUCAAUCCACACCUGGACUUUGCUUUUUCUUUUUCUUUUUCUUUUUUUUUUUAAACAAAAACAACAAAAAAAAACUAAGUCAGUCUCAUGAUUCCUGCAGAUUCAUUGAGGAACCAAGUGCUAUUUUUUAGAGUUGCUUCUGUUAUGCUUUAUUUCUAAUAUUCUCAAAAUAAUGUAAUACUUUGAUGCAGUUGUUACAAACAUGCCAACAAUGCUUUUGUGGAAAUGAUUUUAAUAGAGUUUUUGAAAUGUAAAUUCAAUUUCUGUAACUGAACUAAAUGAUUUUUAUCACUAUAAAAAGUCAAAACGAUAGUGGGCGUGGUGCACCGGUGGGCAAGUGAUGUAAUCGGUGUGCGGCCAAACACCGGUAACACAGCAAGCCUAAUAUGGAUGCUCCCAGUACCUUAUUUUUU